rnacentral:rRNA from 1 species
AUUGAACGCUGGCGGCAGGCCUAACACAUGCAAGUCGAACGAGUGGCGGACGGGUGAGUAAUGUCUGGGAAACUGCCUGAUGGAGGGGGAUAACUACUGGAAACGGUAGCUAAUACCGCAUACCAUCGGAUGUGCCCAGAUGGGAUUAGCUAGUAGGUGGGGUAAAGGCUCACCUGGGCGACGAUCCCUAGCUGGUCUGAGAGGAUGACCGGCGCCACUGGAACUGAGACAAGGUCCAGACUCCGACGGGAGGCAGCAGGUGGGAAUAUCGCACAAGGGGCGAAAGCCUGAUGCAGCCAUGCCGCGUGUAUGAAGAAGGUCUUAGGGUUGUAAAGUACGUUCAGCGGGGAGGCGUUACCCGCAGAAGAAGCACCGGCUAACUCCGUGCCAGCAGCCGCGGUAAUAC